CUUUCAUCGAGACCGAGCAUCCUGCGCGUCUUUUGGACCCGCUGCUCUGCGAGCAUCAUGCUGGAUGUGCUGCUGUUGAUGUUCUUCGCCAUCAUCGGCCUUGUGUUCCUGUCCUACAUCAUCUACGUGCUGUGAUCCCGCGCCGGUAGCACCGAUGCGCCGCCGUGAGAGCGCAAUCGUGACUCACGGGAGAGAUCUGAGCUCGCAGGAAGAAGCUCUGUUAAUGGGAUCAACGAGAUGUGAAUUCACUGGAGGAAACACUUACAAGAUGAGACUUCACCCAUAUCUCUGGGUCACACAAACACUGUUCCUAUAGCACAGCAGCUGAAACAAAACCUACACCAAACUGUUGUUUCACCCCUUUCAUUUAGCAGAUGUGUUGUUCAGAUGUGUUUUUCCCAAAGCAGGCUGAAACAGGAGAUCUAUGGAUGUCUGGCUAUUAUUUUUCCUUUUCUGUUCCUCUGUGUAGUAUUUCUGCAAAUAACUGUUUACAAAUUCCCAGUGCAAUGUACACUAUCAUCAAACUCAUGUAUUUUGUCAAAGGAUGUUCAUGAAUGACUGAUUUUUAAAAUAAAGAGCCUUCGUGAGGAUGAAA